rnacentral:rRNA from 1 species
GUUCAGGAUGAACGCUAGCUACAGGCUUAACACAUGCAAGUCGAGGGGCAGCAUGGUCUUAGCUUGCUAAGGCCGAUGGCGACCGGCGCACGGGUGAGUAACACGUAUCCAACCUGCCGUCUACUCUUGGACAGCCUUCUGAAAGGAAGAUUAAUACAAGAUGGCAUCAUGAGUCCGCAUGUUCACAUGAUUAAAGGUAUUCCGGUAGACGAUGGGGAUGCGUUCCAUUAGAUAGUAGGCGGGGUAACGGCCCACCUAGUCUUCGAUGGAUAGGGGUUCUGAGAGGAAGGUCCCCCACAUUGGAACUGAGACACGGUCCAAACUCCUACGGGAGGCAGCAGUGAGGAAUAUUGGUCAAUGGGCGCAGGCCUGAACCAGCCAAGUAGCGUGAAGGAUGACUGCCCUAUGGGUUGUAAACUUCUUUUAUAAAGGAAUAAAGUCGGGUAUGGAUACCCGUUUGCAUGUACUUUAUGAAUAAGGAUCGGCUAACUCCGUGCCAGCAGCCGCGGUAAUACGGAGGAUCCGAGCGUUAUCCGGAUUUAUUGGGUUUAAAGGGAGCGUAGAUGGAUGUUUAAGUCAGUUGUGAAAGUUUGCGGCUCAACCGUAAAAUUGCAGUUGAUACUGGAUAUCUUGAGUGCAGUUGAGGCAGGCGGAAUUCGUGGUGUAGCGGUGAAAUGCUUAGAUAUCACGAAGAACUCCGAUUGCGAAGGCAGCCUGCUAAGCUGCAACUGACAUUGAGGCUCGAAAGUGUGGGUAUCAAACAGGAUUAGAUACCCUGGUAGUCCACACGGUAAACGAUGAAUACUCGCUGUUUGCGAUAUACUGCAAGCGGCCAAGCGAAAGCGUUAAGUAUUCCACCUGGGGAGUACGCCGGCAACGGUGAAACUCAAAGGAAUUGACGGGGGCCCGCACAAGCGGAGGAACAUGUGGUUUAAUUCGAUGAUACGCGAGGAACCUUACCCGGGCUUAAAUUGCAGAUGAAUUACGGUGAAAGCCGUAAGCCGCAAGGCAUCUGUGAAGGUGCUGCAUGGUUGUCGUCAGCUCGUGCCGUGAGGUGUCGGCUUAAGUGCCAUAACGAGCGCAACCCUUGUUGUCAGUUACUAACAGGUUCCGCUGAGGACUCUGACAAGACUGCCAUCGUAAGAUGUGAGGAAGGUGGGGAUGACGUCAAAUCAGCACGGCCCUUACGUCCGGGGCUACACACGUGUUACAAUGGGGGGUACAGAGGGCCGCUACCACGCGAGUGGAUGCCAAUCCCCAAAACCUCUCUCAGUUCGGACUGGAGUCUGCAACCCGACUCCACGAAGCUGGAUUCGCUAGUAAUCGCGCAUCAGCCACGGCGCGGUGAAUACGUUCCCGGGCCUUGUACACACCGCCCGUCAAGCCAUGGGAGCCGGGGGUACCUGAAGUGCGUAACCGCGAGGAGCGCCCUAGGGUAAA